rnacentral:rRNA from 1 species
UACGUAGGGUGCAAGCGUUGUCCGGAAUUAUUGGGCGUAAAGAGCUCGUAGGCGGUUUGUCGCGUCGGCUGUGAAAACUCGGGGCUCAACCCCGAGCCUGCAGUCGAUACGGGCAAACUAGAGUGUGGUAGGGGAGACUGGAAUUCCUGGUGUAGCGGUGAAAUGCGCAGAUAUCAGGAGGAACACCGGCGGCGAAGGCGGGUCUCUGGGCCAUUACUGACGCUGAGGAGCGAAAGCGUGGGGAGCGAACAGG